rnacentral:misc_RNA from 1 species
AAAGUCGUAACAAGGUUUCCGUAGGUGAACCUGCGGAAGGAUCAUUACAAAUCCAUCACGUCUCCUUGUGAGACCACGUUGAAAUGUGCUUGUGUUGUGGGAGGAGGAGAAGAGGGGUGGUGGUGGGAAUUGGGUUGGUGAGCGAGAGCAAUCUCCUCCCUUCCCGUUCACACCCACACUCACUCACCACCACUCACAUACGCGAACUAGUUGAUAAUUGUUGUGCAAGUGUAUUGUUUCUAAACAUCAGUACAACUUAUAACAAUGGAUCUCUAGGCUCUU